UGCAUCGGCCAGGAAUCGAACCGGGUGGCCCGCGUGGCAGGCGAGCAUUCUACCACUGAACCACCAAUGC